CCAUUUCCCCUUGGCCAUGAAGCAGAGAACCUCAUGGUGCUGUUGCAUACAUUCCCUCCACACAUGAUUUACAAUGGGGAUGAAACAGGCGUCUUUACAGUACAAAAGCCACAGCAGAAGAAUCCAGGGAAACACGAAAGAGUGGGAGAGACCCACGUUUGCUAUAAAGGAAAAUGAUUUGGCACAUGUUCAUAAAAGUGAUGUGGUGAAGAAGCUGCCUCAACCUAAAAAGGCCCGGAGGAACCACACUGAGAGAGCAACUCCUCAUCUUUCCCUGUAACCUUCAGGGCUGGAAUGUAGAGUAGGACAGUAGGCUGACGUUCUACUCCAGGUGGAUCUAGUCCUGUGUUCUGAGUUCCAGGCCGUUCUAGCUGUUUCUUUUUUGUGUUCUGACCCCCAGAUUGUGUUCUAAUCUAUCUGGUUCUAUAUGUCAUUUGAUUGUUAAUUAAAACAUUUUGAAU